UAGGGAAUCUUCCGCAAUGGGCGAAAGCCUGAUGGAGCAACGCCGCGUGUGUGAUGAAGGGUUUCGGCUCGUAAAACACUGUUGUAAGAGAAGAAUGACAUUGAGAGUAACUGUUCAAUGUGUGACGGUAUCUUACCAGAAAGGAACGGCUAAAUACGUUCCAG
rnacentral:rRNA from 1 species